CAGCCGCCACGGUAAUACAGAGGGUGCGAGCGUUAAUCGGAUUUACUGGGCGUAAAGCGUGCGUAGGCGGCUUCUUAAGUCGGAUGUGAAAUCCCUGAGCUUAACUUAGGAAUUGCAUUCGAUACUGGGAAGCUAGAGUAUGGGAGAGGAUGGUAGAAUUCCAGGUGUAGCGGUGAAAUGCGUAGAGAUCUGGAGGAAUACCGAUGGCGAAGGCAGCCAUCUGGCCUAAUACUGACGCUGAGGUACGAAAGCAUGGGGAGCAAACAGGAUUAGAUACCCGAGUAGUCCUGUCUCUUAUACC
rnacentral:rRNA from 1 species